AUUGAACGCUGGCGGCAGGCCUAGCACAUGCAAGUCGAACGGUAACAGGAAGAAGCUUGCUUCUUUGCUGACGAGUGGCGGACGGGUGAGUAAUGUCUGGGAAACUGCCUGAUGGAGGGGGAUAACUACUGGAAACGGUAGCUAAUACCGCAUAACGUCGCAAGACCAAAAAGGGGGACCUUCGGGCCUCUUGCCAUCGGAUGUGCCCAGAUGGGAUUAGCUAGUAGGUGGGGUAACGGCUCACCUAGGCGACGAUCCCUAGCUGGUCUGAGAGGAUGACCAGCCACACUGGAACUGAGACACGGUCCAGACUCCUACGGGAGGCAGCAGUGGGGAAUAUUGCACAAUGGGCGCAAGCCUGAUGCAGCCAUGCCGCGUGUAUGAAGAAGGCCUUCGGGUUGUAAAGUACUUUCAGCGGGGAGGAAGGGAGUAAAGUUAAGACCUUUGCUCAUUGACGUUACCCGCAGAAGAAACACCGGCUAACUCCGU
rnacentral:rRNA from 1 species